CAGGCGCUCUGCCCCGCCGUGGGGUUUUGGGGGUGCUGUGGAGAAGGCAGGGCUCGGGACUCUUCCACCUCCUUGGCUGCUCUGGCCUUUGAGUUAUGCUCUAAGAUUAUCGAUUACUUUUCCGUUGUUGCUUAUUUCCCACAGCAGCAGAAUGAGAACGGUUAUUAGUUAAUAGCCAUCAGAGACAGACCAAGUGGAACACAGUCCUCGGAAAAACGCCACUCUGUAGCAUUAGUAAUUAAAACCUCACAAGGUUUGUAUUUCCUGAAGGAGGCCGUCAGUGUCAAUGCUGUACUAACGACGGUACUGUACGUAAGUUUCGGUACUGCCCCCACUUUCUUCUCCUUGACAUUGUAUUACUAAAAGCUGCAGCUACUCUCUACAGUUUUCUCAUUGGUUACUAAUGUCUGGAACAGCAGCUAGAUUAUGCAGUAAGCUCUUGACUUCUCAGUCCUUUAUGUGGAGCUGGGGGCAGGAAGAAUUGCUUCUGGAAGCUGAUGGAGUUGGACAUGUGGCUUUCUAGAAUCUGGAUGUGAUGGUGCAGGAAAAACUCCUGCCCAUUGAGAGGGCUCCGUAAGUGCUUCCCAAAAGAGAAUGAGAAGGAAAAGGAGAUCUCCACAGGAACUGCCUCCUUGGAUCCAGGGCAAAAAUGAACCUCCUAUUGGAGAGAAGUGCCCAGCUUGUCAAGAAGUUGAAUCGGUGCAACCAGCGUUUGUGAAAGCAGCAUUUCCCAUUUCACAUAAAGUCAGCUUCUGGCCAACUGGACAAGUCUGAACAAAUAUGAAACCCACUAAAAGGCCAGUGACAGGUGCACACACUACUGACUCUGGCUAGAGGCUGUGGCAGGAAUUGGACUCAUGUCAUCCAGCGACAGUUCCACCAGCAUCUCUUGUGGCUUCCCAAGGACCAGCCUGAGGCAAACUCCUCAGUGGUGUGAAGACUUUCCAUGUCACUGGAAACCCACCACAGAGUUCUACCAAGUAACCAUGCCUCCACCAGUCCACAACAAACUUUUAAGGCCUCUCCAGUUAUGCCUGCAACCAUCCCACAUUAGCAACCUAAGUAGGCCACCAGUAGAGCUGGUCAAGAGAAAGGAUAGGUUCAAUUAAUUAUUUUUUAAUUAAAAAAAAAUAGAGACAGGGUCUUGUUAUGUUGCCGAGGCUGGUCUUGUACU
rnacentral:lncRNA from 1 species